rnacentral:rRNA from 1 species
UACGGAGGGGGCUAGCGUUGUUCGGAAUUACUGGGCGUAAAGGGCGCGUAGGCGGCCCGCUAAGUCGAACGUGAAAUCCCCGGGCUCAACCCGGGAACUGCGUCCGAUACUGGCAGGCUUGAAUCCGGGAGAGGGAUGUGGAAUUCCAGGUGUAGCGGUGAAAUGCGUAGAUAUCUGGAGGAACACCGGUGGCGAAGGCGGCAUCCUGGACCGGUAUUGACGCUGAGGCGCGAAAGCCAGGGGAGCAAACGGG